GGAGGACGCUUACCACUUUGUGGUUCAUGACUGGGGUGAAGUCGUAACAAGGUAGCCCUAGGGGAACCUGGGGCUGGAUCACCUCCUUAUACGAAGAUA
rnacentral:rRNA from 1 species